rnacentral:rRNA from 1 species
AACGGGUGAGUAACACGUGGGCAAUCUGCCCUGCACUCUGGGNCAANNCCUGGAAACGGGGUCUAAUACCGGAUAAUACUCCUGCACUCAUGUGUGGGGGUUAAAAGCUCCGGCGGUGCAGGAUGAGCCCGCGGCCUAUCAGCUUGUUGGUGAGGUAAUGGCUCACCAAGGCGACGACGGGUAGCCGGCCUGAGAGGGCGACCGGCCACACUGGGACUGAGACACGGCCCAGACUCCUACGGGAGGCAGCAGUGGGGAAUAUUGCACAAUGGGCGAAAGCCUGAUGCAGCGACGCCGCGUGAGGGAUGACGGCCUUCGGGUUGUAAACCUCUUUCAGCAGGGAAGAAGCGAAAGUGACGGUACCUGCAGAAGAAGCGCCGGCUAACUACGUGCCAGCAGCCGCGGUAAUACGUAGGGCGCAAGCGUUGUCCGGAAUUAUUGGGCGUAAAGAGCUCGUAGGCGGCUUGUCACGUCGGGUGUGAAAGCCCGGGGCUUAACCCCGGGUCUGCAUUCNAUACGGGCUAGCUAGAGUGUGGUAGGGGAGAUCGGAAUUCCUGGUGUAGCGGUGAAAUGCGCAGAUAUCAGGAGGAACACCGGUGGCGAAGGCGGAUCUCUGGGCCAUUACUGACGCUGANGAGCGAAAGCGUGGGGGAGCGAACAGGAUUAGAUACCCUGGUAGUCCACGCCGUAAACGGUGGGAACUAGGUGUUGGCG